rnacentral:rRNA from 1 species
GUGGGGAAUCUUGCGCAAUGGGCGAAAGCCUGACGCAGCAACGCCGCGUGCGGGAUGAAGGCCCUCGGGUUGUAAACCGCUUUCAGUGGGGACGAACCAAGACGGUACCCACAGAAGAAGCCCCGGCCAACUACGUGCCAGCAGCCGCGGUAACACGUAGGGGGCAAGCGUUGUCCGGAUUCAUUGGGCGUAAAGAGCUCGUAGGCGGUUCGAUAAGUCGGGUGUGAAACCUCCAGGCUCAACCUGGAGACGCCACCCGAUACUGUCGUGACUAGAGUCCAGUAGGGGAGCGUGGAAUUCCUGGUGUAGCGGUGAAAUGCGCAGAUAUCAGGAGGAACACCAGCGGCGAAGGCGGCGCUCUGGGCUGGAACUGACGCUGAGGAGCGAAAGCGUGGGGAGCGAACAGGAUUAGAAACCCUGGUAGUCC